GCACUGCUGACGAGUCCCAAACAGGACGUGACCGCUGUCCAGUGC
rnacentral:hammerhead_ribozyme from 1 species